UAAAAAAAGGCUGCAGGAGGAAAGGCUUAUUAGCGGGUUACCACACAGGAAAAUAAUAUUUCUGUUAUAUUGUUAUUCUACCAACAGGGCUGUCAACACGAUAUCUAAUUUCCUCUGUAGCAGGUGAAACUAUUCCGCUUUUAACUCAUUUUUGUUUCUCACUGUUAGUAAAAAAAUAUCUCCCUUCACUAACAGGAUAGACCUCAAUACGCUGUGCUUUCCCGGCCACCUGGCGCAAAGCAUAAACAACCGCAUUCUCUUCUUUUUCUUUUCUUUGCAUUCUGCAAGAUGAAUGGAAGGGCCACGAGAAAACCUGAAAAACCGGGCGGGCAUCCGUGCAGCUCUAUGACCACGCUGUGAACUUUUCCUUACAGGCCCAUAAUAAUGACUGCUGUCGGUGCUGUCUGCGCGGCGGCCCGUCGCGGUGAUAUAUGGGGGUCAGUGGGCCGGGACGGCCUGCUUGGAAUGAGCGGCCCGGUAAGCAGCCAAGCCCGGUACUCAGGCGGACAGAAACCUGGGAUGGCACAGCUAGAGCCUGCUCCUAAACCACCAUAAUUCACGCAGAUGUGGUGCUGUCACCAGGAUUAUAUGGCUCGACAUGACCGUGCACUAGAAGCUAAUCCCACAUUGCCUUUCGCCACCGCACCUGAACUUUUCCCUGACCCGGGCAGAGGCAUAGAGAGUCGAGUGGGAAGUUAUUUUGGAAAACUAAAGGCCCUCUCAGCUGGUAGCCUACUUUUUUCACGUUUUGUUGCACUUUUUUUUUUUUCCAGAUUUGCCCUUUGCUCAAAAAGUAGUAGUUGACUGAUUAUGUUGUAAAUCUCAGCUGUUUUAGCAUAAAACAAAUGUUUCAGAGUUAUUUACACAAAUCAAGGCUCCUUAUCACUGUCAGCGAAGAGGAGUUAGAGGCGCAGACCUCUGGAUGUUGGCCAGACGGCGGUCCAUAUCUUCCCACAAUGUUGACACUCGGAGCUCUUAACAGCCAGGCUUGGGUUACCGAUACACUCAGCCGAAGAUAACUCUUUCUGCGAGGUUUACACCAGCCAACAUCAAGGCUAAUGCGAAAUUCAACGCUUAAGCUGUCUUGGAGCCAUCUCUCACGGAUGCAGACGGACUGGGACAGCGUAAUUGUUUGCGUAAAGGUGGCUGUAAUAAAGCUAUUUGAAUUUC